UGUAGACUCAAGUUUCCAGCAAGAAUUAACUCUAUGCUUUUACUUUUUACGCGUCCAUCAUUCCUUACAGAUUCGUGCUUGCAUCCUCCUGGCCUUGGCCACCUCUGCCUUUGGCGUCUACUCCGGCUAUCCUUACGGAUACUCUGCAGCUGCUCCCGCAGCAUAUGGGUCCUACCACGCUCCCCUUGGUGCUCUAUCUUCAUACGGCUAUGGACUUGGCCAUGGCGCUCAAGCGUAUGGCUACGGACUGGGAAGCUAUGGCCUGAGCUACGGACAGGGUCUCGGUGGUCUUGGCUAUUCCACCCUGCUACACAAAUGAUAGAUUCAUGCAAGACGGAACAGCAACUGUGAUCAUAGCUUUUGGCACAAGGAAUAUCUUGGAAUAAAAUGAUUAUCAAU
rnacentral:lncRNA from 1 species